UGAAUAGUGGCAUUGUAAAGCGCUUUGGGUGCCUUGAAAAGCGCUAUAAAAAUCCAAUCCAUUAUUAUUAUUAUUAUUAAACUAAAACUAAAGCUUCUGAUUUUCCCGAGCCUCAGCUGCGACACCUUUUUACUUAUCUCCUCAUUAGUGAUCAAUAUUUAAAGACCGACUUUAUCUUCCUCUCUCUGUCAGGUUGGUGUUGCCUCCAGGGUGGUAAUUGUCUUCUUCAUGCUUAGAACUAGCUUCUGCCCAGUUACCUGUUUUCAUUGAUAGUGUUUAUCCUCAAGUUAUCUUGAGGUCUUUUAAAUCUGCUGUCAGUCUCUGGGUGCAGCUUCACGAGUCAUUUAGUGAACAUGACCCACAUGCAGUAAAUACAGUAAGCAAGAAAUUGUCACACAUCACGGUGUUGCUAUAGGAGUCCCCCAUGUCCUCCAGGUAUGGACUUGCCUUCUUUCUUUCGCUCUCUCUUUUCCUCCUUUGUCAGUGGAUCAGCAUGUGGGUGGAACUAACCACCAGGAGAGGGUGUCAUCCAGUCCGUCUCAAUCACUGGUAGUACUUCAACCAGGCUCUCAUUGCCAAGCUGUUAUCCUCCUCAGCGUGGUAGUGUAUCUCAGGCUGUGUUGCAGUUUUUAUUAAUAAUCUGCUUGCCCUGCAAUUCUGUACCUGUACUUUCCAGCUUGUCUCCUCCUGCUUUGUAGGGAAUUUUGUUUGCUGUGGCUAACCCACUUCCAAUGCGCUCUCUGGAAACUGAGAAACUGGAGGUGGAGCCUGUGGAAAGGACUGAAGAGCUAAAAAAGAAAGCAGGACUUACCUGAGGUUGCCCAUACUGUUCGUGCGCACUUGCAGCCACCCAGCGCUUAUUCAUUUUGAAUUAAAAGGAUAUGCAUCUUCAUUCUUCAUGAUUGUAAAUAAAAUGGGGAACCGCUCAUAAAAGCCCUGACCACACCGUUUCUGGAGGUACAACAGCUGUGUUCAAAUCCUCUGUAAAGAUUAAUGAAUAGAUUUCAGAAACAACAAAGGAAAACGGAAAACAGAGGAAACUGAUGUCUCAGUAAGUCUGAUCAUCUUUUAAGACUGACAGGGAGAAAAGCUUGCUGCCUCAGAGUCGAGCGCAUUUCACAGACAAACCCAUGUUGUGACACCAAAGGAAAAAACAACAGCUGACACGCUAAAAGCCUUUGUUCAACCACUGAAAUGCCUAUACAAAGCUGGUUUUGAGGCCUGAAGCAUCGCGCGUCAGGAUUUUACCUGCGAUCUAUAAACAGCAACCGUAAUCAGACAGAAUAUCAGCUGCUUUUUAAAACGUAGAAGCCUGUUUUUAAUUAACAGCAGAUGUUCUUAGGUGUUGUAACAACAGGAUGCCUCAGUCAAUAAUUAGAGUUUAACACUAGUAUCCCCUGGUGAUGGAGUUUUGUGUUUCCCUCCAAACCCCUGCCUUAGUGAACUGCAACAAAGUCAUGUAGACUUAAAGCUUUUUUUUCUUAAUACCAGUGAUUGCAAAUUUUGUGUAUCAUGAAAAUUUUUUAACGCUUUGUUGCGAUGUGCAUUGGCUUGAGAAAAAAAAAGAAACGAGGUUUCUCCCAAUUAAAUUUGAUUUAUGUGGCAGCACUUACUCUAAAAACUAUAAUGUAUUUGUUGUCAAAAACCUUUUGUGCAUUUG
ensembl:lncRNA